UUGGGUAGAGUUUGAAAACUCUACCCUAUAGGGCAGAGUUUGAAACUCUGCCCUAAUAAUUAGGGCAGGGUUUUGAAACUCUGCCCUAAACUGUACCCUAUAGGGCAGAGUUUCAAACUCUGCCCUAAAUC